rnacentral:ncRNA from 1 species
CUUCGCGGUAGAGGUGCGGCGGCCAUGAGUAGCCGGGUCGAUUUUCCGAGUGCGCUUCGGAGGCCUGGGUGAAAGGGGCCGAAAAGAGGUCCGCCGAAACCGGUAUGGAAAGCUCAAUUCCCUCCGGUUGGGGAGCCCGGUCAAAACCGGCUCACUGUCACCCGUUCGUCAGGCGGGUGGAGCGCUAUCGGGAAU